rnacentral:rRNA from 1 species
UUUAAAUUAAGAGUUUGAUCCUGGCUCAGGACGAACGCUGGCGGCGUGCUUAACACAUGCAAGUCGAGCGAUGAAGCUCCUUCGGGAGUGGAUUAGCGGCGGACGGGUGAGUAACACGUGGG